rnacentral:lncRNA from 1 species
AGGACUCCUUCUCCAAGAGCGGUGUUCUGCUUCCAGGAGGCUGCAUUCCAUCAGGGUAGAAUCAACCUGGGGAAGCCCUGGCUGCUCUCUGGAAGUGGCUGGCCUGAGUGAGAAACCUCACCAAGGGUACCUCUCCUUGUCUCUUAUCAGCACU